AGCUAACAAAUAGCUCGGGGUGGGGUGGACGAGAUCCGUGGUUCUAAGCGCAUUCUGAAGCAGAAAAACUCGUUCUUGUUAUGAUGAGAGUAUUAUCCAUGCCAACCCCCAGAAAUGGGACUGUGCGAGCAGCUGUCCAGAGCGGUGGCAUCCCUGACGCUGAGGCUGCAGUACCCGGUUGCACUAAGAUGUUUUGGGUAGGGUUCUACCAGUUCUGUGUUGCUCUAAGACAGUUUCCACUGGCACGUCGCUAUGUUGGUUUACAAGGCGAUUAAUGGGAUGGAACCUUCCAAAGGAGGCCCUACACUGGGUUGGGGGAGAGGAGAGAGGAAUGGACAGGGACAAUAACAUGACCAAAAAGAGCAAAAAUUGGGAAUGGGGGGUGCCUGGUGGCUCAGUCGGUUAAGCGUCUGACUUCGGCUCGGGUCAUGAUUUCGCAGUUUGUGGGUUCGAGCCCUGUGUUGGGCUCUGUGCUGACAGCUGGGAGCCUGGAGGCUGCUUCGGAUUCCGUGUCUCCCUCUCUCUGCCCCUCCUCUUCUCGCACCAUGUCUCUCUCUCUCAAAAAUAAAUAAACAUUAAAAAAAUUUUAAAAAGAAAAGAAAAAAAUUGGGAAUGAAAGUAAGACUUUACUCCUGACCUUACAAAAACAAGAGUUUUUAAGGGACUACUAUGAACAAUAGAACGCCCACAAAUUAGAUACCCUAGGUGAGAUGAAUGAGUUGAUAGAACGGCACAGACUAUAAAAUUGGACUCAAGAAGAAAUAGACUUUCUGCACAGACUUAUGUCCAACGGAGAGACUGAAUUAGUCAUUUAAGAACCCCCCUCAAGGAAAAGCUCAGGCCCGUAUGUCUUCACGGUGAAUUAUACAAAUAUUUAAAGAAUAAAUAUCGAUCCUUCACAAAGUCUUCCAGAAACCAGAAGAGGAAGGAACAUUUCCGAACUCAUUAAAUGAGACCAGUAUUAACCUGAUCCCGAAGCGUUCUAAGAUUGAUUCAGUGCAGGUGGCGCCUGGGUGGCUCAGUCGGUUGAGCAUCCGACUUCAGCUCAGGUCAUGAUCUCACGGUUCGUGGGUUCGAGCCCCACGUCGGCUCCGUGCUGACAGCUCAGAGCCUGGAGCCUGUUUCAGAUUCUGUCUGCCCCUCCCCUGCUCUCGCUCUCUCAAAAAUAAAAUUAAAAACAUUUAAAAAAUUAAAAAAAAAAAAAGAUUGAUUCCGUGCCAUACACAUCAAAAUCCUAGCUUGCUCUUUUGCAGAAUUUCACAGGCUGAUCCUAAACAUCCUCUGGAAAUACAAGGAACCCAGAAUAGCCAAAAUAAUUUUGAAUCGGAAAAAGAAGCUGAAGGAGUCACGUAUCCAUCUCGUUUCAAAACUUACUAUAAAGCUACAGUCAUCAAGCCAGUAAGAAUUCAGCAUAAGAACAAUUAGAUCAAUAAAAUGGAAUCAACAGUCUAGAGAUAAGCCCUUUCCCUUCUGCUCAAUUGAUUUUCAACAAGGGUCUGUUGACAACUCAGUGGGCAGGAACAGUCUUUUCAACAAAUGGUGCCAGGACAGCCGAGGGCCGCAUGCGAAAGAAUGAGUGUGGGCCCGUACCUCACAUCUUACAUAAAGAUUAACUCAGAAUGAAUGAUAGACCUACAUGUAACAGCUGAAACUAUACAACUCUUAGAAGAAAACCUAGGAGUAGAUCUUUGUGACUUUGGGUUAAGCAAUAGUUUCUUACCCACGACACAAAAAGCACAGUUUAUGAAAGUGAAGCUAGGUCAGCUGGGGCUCCAUCAAGUUCAAAACUUGUUUUGUUCCAAAUGGUACUACUAUGAAAUGAGAAGACGACCCACAGAAUAGGAAAACCAAUUUGCCGGUCGUCUAUCUGAUGAGGGACUCGUAUCCCGAAUGUGUAAGAACUCUCGCACCUUACUAAUAAAAAGACAAAUAACCCACUUUGGAGGUGAACAAAGAUCAGAGUAGACAUUUUUCCAAAAGGAGACAAAUGGCUAGGAAGCACACAAAAACACGUGCAACACCUCGGUCGUCACUAGCCGUUGGAGAAACGUGAAUCGAAACCAUAAUGACAUCACUUCACGGGCACUAGGAUGGCUAGAAUCAAGAGCAGAGACGGUAAGUGUGGGGGAAGACGGAGAGAAGUCGGAACCCUCAUCCCCCGCCGAUGGGGUGGCCGCUCUGGAAAACAGCUGGCAGUUCCUAAAACGUUAAACGUGUUAUUUCCAUAUGACCAGCCAAUCUACCCCCCAGUAUCGAAGACGUAUGUUUACACAAAAACGUGUGCACAACUGUUCAUAUCAGCAUUAUUUAUAGUACUCAAAAUUGAAAAAAACCCAAGUGUCCGGCAACUGAUGACUGGGUGAAAGACUGGAAUAUCCACACAAUGGAAUAUUAUUUGCCAAUAAAAAGGAAUGAAGUACUUAUUCAUGUUACCACAGGGAUGAACCUUGAAAACUUCAUGCAAUGCAGAAGAAGCCAGACGCAAAAGGCCCUAUAUUGUAUGGUUCGGUUUAUAGGAAGUGUCCAGAAUAGGAAAACCCACAGAGACAGAAAGUAGAUGAGUGGUCGCCAGAACUGGGAGAGGAGGAAGGGUGGGGAGUGACUACUAAUGGGCUUCUCUCUGGGGGGAUGAAAAUGUCCUCAAAUCAGAUACUGGUGAUGGUUGCACAACUCAGAAUACACACUGAGUUGUACAUUUUAAGUAGGUGAGGUUUAUGGUAUGUGAGUGUCAAUAAAGCUGUUAAAAAUUAUAAGGGAUUAGUUUAAAAUAAUAUGAUAAAAGAACGCAGUGGGUUACUUUGCAGCUACUUAAAUUAAUGCAAUUUGUAUACAUGGAUAUGGAAAGUUAUCCACAAUAUAGUGAAGGGGGGGGGGUGGAAAGCAGGUUAUAAUUCAUUACAACAUGAUCUCAGGUUUAUAGAAACAGAACACGUGUGUGUGUGUGUGUGUCUGCAUGUGUGUGUGCACAUGUAAAAUAAAAUCUGGAAGGAUAUACAGUAAAGCCUUAUUCUGCAAGACUAGCGGACAUUUGAAUUUUAACUUGAUAAACUAGCAGAUAAACAAGACUAGCGGACUAAUGAAUUUUAACUUGAUAAACGAGUGAUGUCUUGCAGUAUGAGUCGUAGGUGACGCUGAAGCUCACAUGAUCACAACCGAACCAAUUUGCUUUGAUAUACGAGUGCUUUGGAUGACAAGGAUGUUUCUGGAACGAAUUAUGCUCGCAAACCAAGGUUUUACUAUCUAUGAGAAGAGUGUUUUCACUGAGUACCACAUGAUAAACUAUUCUUCUUCAAAUUUUUAUUUGAUCUUUGAAAAAGUAAUAAAAUCCCAUGGCAUAAAAGUCAAAAGCUCUACAAGACUCUCUAGUGAAAAAUCUUCUCCAAACCACCCUGUUUUCCCUCCGGGUGGCAGCUAAUAUUACCAGGUGCCUGAGUGUCCCUUGGGAGAAUUUGACACACCCAAGGCCUGCUCUGUAUGCCCCUUAGCACCUUCCUGUAUUGCUUCGCUGUGAAUCUUGUCCAUACUGAGUUACGGAGUAACUCCCAUUAUAAUGGGAGUCCUCCCUCUUCUUUUUACGGUUGAGUAGAAUCUCCGUUCUGCAGAUGAGGCGUUGAAAGAAAAAUUUUUUUCCAUUGAGAGAUUAUAGUCACGCAUUUCCUGUUUCUGAACUUAGCAGGUAUUUGACUUGGAGUCAGAAAGAGAUUAGGCUCUCUCUCCGAAAGAAGUGCUUGUACUGAGGAUUCAGAUCUGAGAGGAGUGAGUCCCCGGGGGGUUGCGUGAGGAGCCCGAGAACCCUAGCCCUGAAAACAAAAGGAGAGAGAGGGUGUCCUCUGCAUUUGGGGAGAGGCCCGCGAGAGAUUCUGGGACUGAGCAGGGAGUCCCCAAAGCAUUUAAGAGUCACUCCUGCCUUUUUCUAUCCAAUCUCCCCUGAUGCGAGAAUUUGAGGUUUGCUGGGGGCAGGGGACCAGCAUUCGUGUCCCCAGGGCCGCUGCUGCCUAGGCAGCUCUGUAAUCCUUCCCUGCCCUCCAGCCGAGCCCUAACUAGGACUUUCUGUCCUUGAGCGCACGCUGCGGUGCUUGAGAACCCUCUGGGAACUUUACAUCCUACUCUUUCCAGAGCUUCUAAGGUUGUUUAACCUCUACCGUGCAGAAACGUGGGGAGCUGCCUGGCUUUGAUUCCAGCCUCUGCCUUCCUCACUGUAGGACCUUGACUGAAUUACCCAGCCUUUCUGAGUGUCUCCUAUCUCACGGCAAGAUGUCAAGGGGAAGAUUUAGCCACCACCCAGCCGCUCUCCAGCUUGGUGGCCACAGGCCUGCUGUGAAUGGGGCGGGAAAGAGGGAGAAAGGAAGAGAUUCUCAGAGCGACUCCUCUUACUGUGCAAAGGCCCGCUCCUGGUCAAGUUCAUGCCCAGCACUUUGGUUUUUUAUCUGUUUGCUUACCGCUUCCUGGGUCAAAACAAAAAUAAAAUGCUGCGGGUCUUGUGGUUGCUCUACAACAUUUCUGUCAUUUCUUCAGGAGUGCACGCUUGACUUGACCAAGCUCAGAAGGAGGAAUUGUCUUGUAGAAGCUCAGUCUGGACCCGGGGACAAGGCUUCUGGACCCAUCAUUCUGAUGAAAACAACCCAAGUAUACACAGGGAUUUUCACCGGCGCAUCGCUAAGAGCUUUACAAGUAACAGCGAAUCUUCACAGAAGACUUCACAGACUGGCAGGCAGGUAGGAAGGAGGCUUCUCUCUUUGAAGAUGGAGGUACCAAACCAAGAAGCGAUUUAUCUCAGAGCUUGAAAUGCCAAUGACCAAGAAAGGGAACGCUUUCCCGAGCACCUGGUUGAAUGCACAAUUAUUUAAUGCUGACAAAUUACGUAUUUGAAACAAUGCUGACUAAAAGCAUUCAUCAAGCACAUUUUAUAGGCUGGGCCCUGGGGAAGAUAGUUUACAUAGUUUGUCCUCAUAAGAUGCUUAAAUAUUGGUACCAUUACUGGGCCCAUUUUACUAAUGAGGAAACUGAGGUCCAGAGAGUUUCCCCAACUCACUUAGGUUACACAACCGACAAGUCAGGGAACUGGGCUCAGAACCUAGCUCCCCCUCUGCCAGAGCCAGUUCCUUCCUCAGUCUAGCAAGAUAGUUUUAAAUACGUAUCAACAACCUCAAGAAUGUCCCUGCUCUUUGCUCCAACAAUCCCACGUCCAGUAACCCAGUCUCUCGAAAUAAUUCUGAAUGUGGAAUAAGUGUCUUACAGUUUGACGUGGCUAAGGACACACUGCUGUGUACCCCUCUUCUUCCCCAAAUCCCAGUGAAAUGAUAGAAAAAAUACAGAAACAAGAGUAGAGUCUGAGUGGUUGUGGACAGUCAGGAGGAGUGGGAGCAACGUCCAGAAGAUUAAGGAAUUUCUAAGCAAUAGAAGGUCAGUGAUGAGAUGAAUAGGAAACCGCGAUGCUGGAGAGCUGAAGGCACAGCCGUCACAGGUGAAUUCUCCCCACAGAGUUCCAGAACAGAGGCAACAGACACUGGGUGCACGUGUGAGCAGACAAUGGACCGGAGGGCAGUUCUUUCCUGCUGUCCACUCAUGGCUCUCCUGCGCGCACACAGUCACCUGAGGCUGGCCCCUGUAUCCCAAACUGCAUUCCUGGCCAGGCAAAUGGGAUUCUCAUGGGGGAAAGGAGGUGCUCCCCAGCCACCACACAGAUGGUCUGCCCAGAUGUUCCUCUACAAGUGUCAACAGACAAUCGAGAAUUGCCAGACAUUUCCGAAAAGCCAGAGCCUGAGAGAAGCAUAAAAAAUAGAACUGACUCCAAGAAAACAGAACUAAUACCUGAAACAGAAGAAAACUUUAAUUCAAAUGAAUAUCCUUGAGAGAGCCUUCCAGAGAGCAUCUUGGGAGCAGCUAUGAAAAUCUUAAAUAUAAUGCAACACUUGUAUGCGUAGGAAUCCAUUCUGCAGAAAUUUUCACUCAGGUCCGCAAAGACAUAUGGACAAGGCAUUGGGCC